CAGUCUGUCUUAAUCCCAGCAGGUCUCAAAAUACUGCGUGGUGUGAUCAUCAGUGAUGUUGGCCUUCGGCCUAUCUGAAAUUGCCAAAAUCAGUAUUCAAUCAAUUUUAACAUAUUUCAAUCUUUGCCAACACGAUUUACUUCCGUCUAAAAGAGAAAGGAUAGAGAUAGG
rnacentral:ribozyme from 1 species